ensembl:lncRNA
AGUUGCUCGUCCAAUCACACGCGUCGUCUCGCAAGAACCGCGCGAUACACGAACAGACAAAGAAGUCGUCUUUGUUACAUGAGUUUCUACAAUGGCGGCCCGGUAUUACCAGUCCGACUCACCACAAACUCCUCGCAUAGAACAGCCUGGACAUGACCGACUGGUUCCAGUCAGACCCGCGACAGACACUGAGAAGAAACUGUUGAGUGUUAUCAGCGGGCUGUCUGGCCAGAGAGCACCGCCAGAGGAGAAGCUCUAGCAGAAGUUGGAGCGGUGUCAGAGCUGCAGGAGGGGAUGGCCGCCAUGGAAGCCAAAUUAAACACUUUCUCCAGCGGCGAGGAAAUUCAGCGGAAAAGAGGAGAGCACAGUCCUAAAAUUGCGACUGGGCUUGCCUCACAAUGAGGCAGUCAGGACAUAUUUAGUUAAAAUUUUAGCUGAAGUCCAGAUGUGGAGGAUGUGGAGACAGACGUCCUUCUAUGUAAGUAUCCUGUUUUAAAUUGUUCCGUUUUCCAGCUGCUUGUAAAAAGCAUUUUGAAACUCUAUGGAGGAACUACCGCUACAGUCAACCCAACAUGGCGGAUCAGGCGGAGGCCAUGAAGUCUUCUGCCCAGAGUCACCAGAGAAGAAAGAGACUGCUGGAUACCAGGAAAAUGGUCCUUGCUCCAGAUGAAGAGGACUUAUGGAAGGGCAUCACAACUGACAUGAUGUCAGAUGAGGAGGACGGCAGUGUUGACGGGGUGCGUGGAUGGAUAGUACGGCCUCCAUCCUUCCACAGCCAGGAGCUUGCCAACCUGCUGCACUACAGGCUGGAGGCUGAUGUGAGGAACACAGCUGCACAUCACAGGUUUCCCAGAGACUAUGGGUUGAGGAGGAAUUGGAAGUUUGUCGGCUUAGACCUGGUGUCAUUCCAUCAGUGUUUAACUUCCCGGCUCAUCUUGGAAGAGUAUGUGCCAGAAAGAUCACGACCAAACAACCUUGAGAUCUUAGACAGCGUCUCCCUCAGGUGGGUGUCAGUGGUGUUCACAGUCAGGUCUGUGGUAAUCCUGUCAAAAAACAAAACAGAAAAAAGUCUAGAUUAUAAAUCAACAUGUAACCAAAGCACUCUGUGUAUAACGCCAUAGUAUAGGAUGUAGUUCAGAAAAUGUCAAAGUAUAGUAUACUUUACUCAAGAAUAACAUAGUAUGGCCUGUAGUUCAUAGUAUAGCAUGUUGGCAAGAAAAAAAAAACAAAACAUAGAUUAUUAUGUGGAUCAAAAAGUGCAAAAUGAUAGGAUGUUGCCUAAAAUUGUCAUGUAUGAUAUGUGGUUCAAAAAAUGUCAUAGUGCAAUAUAUUGUCAAAAUAGUAUGUUAUUCAAGAAAACAUUAGAGUAUAAUGUCAUCUAAAAAAUGCCAUAGAAUAAUAUUUCAUUGCACAAGUAAAAGUAUAGUGAGUUUUAAAACUGUUCAAAUUCUUAUAAUAUGUUGCUAAAAAACAACAAAAAAAACUAAAACAAAAAAAGUCACAGUAAUAUGUCAAUUAAAAAAGCCUAUAGUAUAGCGUGUCGCCCAACAAACAUCAUAGUAUAGCAUGUCGCUCUAAAAACAUCACAGUAUAGCCUUUAGUCCACAGCUGUCAGUAGGUGAGGAGCAACACAAAAAAAGUCCAAACGCUGGUUUCCAGAGGGUUAGACGAGAAUUUAUUUGAAAGAGUAAGUUUACAACAACACAACAUGUGAGGGGGUUAAAAACAAAUGGGUGUUAGUAAAAUAAAAAUAAAUUAACAGAACUAAAAGUGAACUUCAUGUUGACAUUGAUGUUCAUUCCAACCAGGAACAAAGUAAAAGAUAAUCAAUACGAAAAAAAACUCUUCCUGUUCACCUCUUAAAACCCAAAAACACACCGCAGUAGCAUUCUAAACUAAAACUACCAAUGGGUUCCCUGUUUUCCUUUCUGAGCAAUUCAAAGGUCCCUCUCUAUCUCCCCACACAUCCACCAACCACUGGAACACAUCUCCAAAAUUCUGCCGGGCCAGCUCAGCUUCCCCUCAGAAGAAGUGCAACCACCUGCCAGAUGGAGCCUUUUGAGAGGCAGCUGGCAUCGUGAUUGGACUGUACUUUGGUCUGUUCCAAUCCAGCUUCAGCUCCAGAGACGGCAGGCGGGACGAGUCAACGGAGGCCGGGUGGACGAAGGCAUGCAGCUGAGUACAAUCCAGAAAACAACAGAGGAGGAGUGCAGCGGCCCAGGGCCAGAACAGAGUAUGUCUCUUAGAAAACAUCAUAGUAGAGCCUUUGGGAUGAAAAAACGGCAUAAUAUACAUCAUAUAUUGUACAAAUAACAAGUCAAAGGAAAGAGACAUCAACUGUAGAAUUGUAGUAAUUGUGGGCUGACGAAUUUACUGAUUAUCAGUAUUUUAUUUUUUACUGAUUUAUGGUAAUAAAUACAUUUAAAAAUGGUGCUACUUUGGCUGUGAACAUUUAUGUACCUGUGGUCGCUCUGUCUUCUGGAGUGAUUUGAUUGGUUAUAUGUCACGAAUAAAACUCCUUUAACAUCUGUA